rnacentral:rRNA from 2 species
UACGAAGGGGGCUAGCGUUGCUCGGAAUUACUGGGCGUAAAGCGCACGUAGGCGGAUUGUUAAGUCGGGGGUGAAAUCCUGGAGCUCAACUCCAGAACUGCCUUCGAUACUGGCGAUCUCGAGUUCGGGAGAGGUGAGUGGAACUGCGAGUGUAGAGGUGAAAUUCGUAGAUAUUCGCAAGAACACCAGUGGCGAAGGCGGCUCACUGGCCCGAUACUGACGCUGAGGUGCGAAAGCGUGGGGAGCAAACAGG